rnacentral:rRNA from 1 species
AACGAACGCUGGCGGCAUGCCUAACACAUGCAAGUCGAACGAACCCUUCGGGGUUAGUGGCGCACGGGUGCGUAACGCGUGGGAAUCUGCCCUUGGCUUCGGAAUAACAGUUAGAAAUGACUGCUAAUACCGGAUGAUGUCUUCGGACCAAAGAUUUAUCGGCCAGGGAUGAGCCCGCGUAGGAUUAGGUAGUUGGUGGGGUAAAGGCCUACCAAGCCGACGAUCCUUAGCUGGUCUGAGAGGAUGAUCAGCCACACUGGGACUGAGACACGGCCCAGACUCCUACGGGAGGCAGCAGUGGGGAAUAUUGGACAAUGGGCGCAAGCUUGAUCCAGCAAUGCCGCGUGAGUGAUGAAGGCCUUAGGGUCGUAAAGCGCUUUUACCCGGGAUGAUAAUGACAGUACCAGGAGAAUAAGCGCCGGCUAACUCCGUGCCAGCCGCCGCAGUAA